rnacentral:rRNA from 1 species
UACGAAGGGGGCUAGCGUUGUUCGGAAUCACUGGGCGUAAAGCGCACGUAGGCGGAUCUUUAAGUCAGGGGUGAAAGCCCAGAGCUCAACUCUGGAAUUGCCUUUGAUACUGGGGAUCUUGAGUAUGGUAGAGGUUGGUGGAAUUGCGAGUGUAGAGGUGAAAUUCGUAGAUAUUCGCAAGAACACCAGUGGCGAAGGCGGCCAACUGGACCAUAACUGACGCUGAGGUGCGAAAGCGUGGGGAGCAAACAGG